rnacentral:lncRNA from 1 species
GGCGCCAUUUUGUGAGCGCGGAGCUCACUUGGUGCUCGCUGGCUGCCCUUCCCGGGCCUUAGCGACUGGAAGGACCAGGAUUUUCAGUGUAAGGUGCCCAGGAGUAAUGUGAAUAAUGAGAGCAGCAUAUGAGCAGGAGACAAGAUUCCCUCUUACAACCUGACAUGGAGUCCUUCCACUAACAAUCACCAUGGAGGAGCAUGUAUUCACUCCUUUCCACAUGGCAUGAAAAGGAUACUGAGUUCUACCAGCAUCCUGCAGAAGGAGCAAUACCUGAGUCAGGAGAUGAGCAGUAAAGGGACAUGGUGCUGAAUGUCGUUCUGAAACCUGUUCCCUCCAAGUGGUUGCAGCAUUCACCUAGGAGGUGGGAGACCUGACACCUGACAAUAGCCUCAGACCUGAAUGAACUCCACAAUCCUGUUUUCCUCCUUCCAAACAUGGCUGUGAAGAUAAGUGUAUCAAGGGUUGGGAAGCAGUGAUCUGUAAGUACCCAAGACAGCUAGAAACUCACUGUGCCAGAGCACUCACAGGUCAGAAAAGAGUGACAUCAGUGCCCAGAACUGAAUAUAAUGAAAGCAGUUCUCAGCUUUGUAUUGAAAUAAAUAGAGAGAAGUGCCAAAACUGUGAGACUGUUUUUGUGGAAGCCUUCAGCAGACAUUACUAGCUUCAUUACUAGCUUCAUUAGUACAGUAUGCUGGGAAGGAACAGUUUUAAGAUUGUGCAUUUAUGCUUCUCUAUUUAGUAAAGUAUUACAAUUGACUUUUAAUAGAAAAAACAAACUUAGGCAAUGUCUAAUCUUGACAUUUUGUAUAGUCAGCACAGCACAGGCAAUACCAGUAGUUGUGAAAGAUUUGCUUCCAAAACCAGUGUUACCUAAAAUCAUUCAUUAUGUUCAGAAAUAAAGAAAACCUUGAGAACUUAACAGCUCACCCAGCUCCAUGCUCUCCCUACUGGCAGGGAAUUAUUCAAAGAUGCAGGUAUUACAGCAAAACAUGCAACCAGACUGCUCAGUAGUUAAGCCUGCAUCUGCUUCCAUAGAAGUUCAUGAAAUAAUGCUUAUUUACACCAGCCAAGACCACAUGUAUAAGCCCUCCACUAUUGCUCAGUUCUAUGUUCCUUAAUUCUACUGCAUUCCUCUAAUUUGGAAGAGCUGGUAAGAGUAACAACACAAAAGGAGAAAUAUCACGGUAGAGAGAUGUACACUGACACCUGGUGGAGCCUGGAUACCUUUGCACUACUGCCAGUGUAACCCAUAGUGAUCCACUCCUUCACAUCAAGCAAUAACACACAGCAAGGGAAACAGCACUGUUGGCCCACAUUACCUCCCACUUCACAGGUAAGCCCCAUCCACAUCUCACUGCACAGAGCAGAAGAUUAGCACAUGCUCUGAUAUACUCAGGGCAAAUGACAUCCCAAAGCUAGGCAAAAGGAGCUGUUGCAAGGAUCUGAAAAGCCAGCCUCAAGAGCAGACUCACAGGAUGAGUCAGUGAGCUGCAGGUAGUAAUAGUUGUUGAGGGAACUAGGAUGGAAAGCAUCAUGACACCAUCACCAGAAGUUUCCAGCUUCAUAACUGGCUGCACCAUCCCAUGCCGAGCUUGCUUUGGCCACCUCCAUGAUUGCAGUAGUUGCUAAAUACAAUUACAAACCCAUGAAAGAACAGCAUUGUGAACCCUAGGAUCAGACUUAACAGGUGUUGUAGAAGCCGAGAUAUCUCAUCCAGGUCAGCAAGUUUAUCUAGAAGAGGUUUGAGUGACUGAAGCCUAACAACCUGCCUUUUAAACACAGUAUUACUUCCUCCCCUUGCCCUGUCUGAAUUAUGGACAGCUGUCUGAUUUUGAAUCGUUACUUUGGGGACGUGGGUGGCAAGGGAUUUUGUACGGAAAGGUUCAUGGCAUGACCUGCUCUUGGCACAGCUGCAGCCAACAAGUUGUGUAUUUUGAUGAUUGUGACAGCUGUUCAAAUUUUAACUUACUGGCCAAGCAAAUCGUGAAGGUCUUAUUUUCAGUUCAUUCAAAAUGAUUUGCCUGUCAAGUUCCUCACAUUUAGAGUUUAACUUGAAUUUAUUUAUUUAUUUUUAAUGUUGCCCAGAUUGGUGGUGGAUGCCCCAUCCUUGGAGACACUCAGGGGCAGGCUGGAUGGGGCUCUGAGCACCUGACCUAGUGCAGGUGGCCCUGUUCACUGCAGGGUGUUGGACGAGAUGACCUUUAAGGAUACCUCCCAACUCCAGUGGUUCUGUGAUUCUAUGUUAAAUAUCUCUUUUGUCAGGCCAGGAGAAAAUGCAG